rnacentral:sRNA from 1 species
GUGCGGCCUAAAUUUUUCAGGCAGCGCCCUUUCGAAAAUAACUUUAAAAAAACAGGCGCAGCCACGAUUUCCCUGGUGUUGGCGCAGUAUUCGCGCACCCCGGUUAAGC